UUCCCUUCGGGGACAUUGGUGACAGGUGGUGCAUGGUUGUCGUCAGCUCGUGUCGUGAGAUGUUGGGUUAAGUCCCGCAACGAGCGCAACCCUUGUCUUUAGUUGCCAUCAUUAAGUUGGGCACUCUAGAGAGACUGCCAGGGAUAACCUGGAGGAAGGUGGGGAUGACGUCAAAUCAUCAUGCCCCUUAUGCUUAGGGCUACACACGUGCUACAAUGGGUAGUACAGAGGGUUGCCAAGCCGUAAGGUGGAGCUAAUCCCUUAAAGCUACUCUCAGUUCGGAUUGUAGGCUGAAACUCGCCUACAUGAAGCUAGAGUUACUAGUAAUCGCAGAUCAGAAUGCUGCGGUGAAUGCGUUCCCGGGUCUUGUACACACCGCCCGUCACACCACGGGAGUUGGAGACGCCCGAAGCCGAUUAUCUAACCUGGUGGAAGAAGUCGUCGAAGGUGGAAUCAAUAACUGGGGUGAAGUCGUAACAAGGUAGCCGUAUCGGAAGGUGCGGCUGGAUCACCUCCUUUCUAAGGA
rnacentral:rRNA from 1 species